GAUGAAGAACGCAGCGAAGUGCGAUAAGUAAUGUGAAUUGCAGAAUUCCGUGAAUCAUCGAAUCUUUGAACGCAAAUUGCACUCUCUGGCAACCCGGGGAGUAUGCCUGUUUGAGGGUCAGUGUUAAUAAAAAUCGGUGCGUCGCAAUUUUUUUGUGAUGUUUCCGGAGUUUGAGUUAUCUUAACUCUUCUGGGUUUUUAAGAGGCUUAAAAUUGACCUUUUUUGUGCAUUUUAGACGUACAUAAAUUUUUUUUUAUUCGUCUAUCUUAAUGCCAAAAUCUAUUAGAUGCGACCAUAUCAUGUGGUUUCGUGUCUAUAAAUUUUUUCAUGAUUUGACCUCAAAUCAGGUAGGAACACCCGCUGAACUUAAGCAUAUCAAUAAGCGGAGGA
rnacentral:misc_RNA from 1 species